rnacentral:rRNA from 1 species
CCUACGGGAGGCAGCAGUGGGGAAUUUUGGACAAUGGGCGCAAGCCUGAUCCAGCAAUGCCGCGUGAGUGAAGAAGGCCUUCGGGUUGUAAAGCUCUUUUGUCAGGGAAGAAACGGUGGAGGCUAAUAUCCUUUGCUAAUGACGGUACCUGAAGAAUAAGCACCGGCUAACUACGUGCCAGCAGCCGCGGUAAUACGUAGGGUGCAAGCGUUAAUCGGAAUUACUGGGCGUAAAGCGUGCGCAGGCGGUUUUGUAAGUUUGUCGUGAAAUCCCCGGGCUCAACCUGGGAAUGGCGAUGAAGACUGCAAGGCUAGAAUCUGGCAGAGGGGGGUAGAAUUCCACGUGUAGCAGUGAAAUGCGUAGAGAUGUGGAGGAACACCGAUGGCGAAGGCAGCCCCCUGGGUCAAGAUUGACGCUCAUGCACGAAAGCGUGGGGAGCAAACAGGAUUAGAUACCCUGGUAGUCCACGCCCUAAACGAUGUCUACUAGUUNUCGGGUUUUAAUUAACUUGGUAACGCAGCUAACGCGUGAAGUAGACCGCCUGGGGAGUACGGUCGCAAGNUUAAAACCUNAAUAGAGUAGACGAGNGAGAGAGACGACGACGACGACGACGGAGGAGGAGG